rnacentral:tRNA from 1 species
UACAUAGCCGUCUGGGAAUCGAACUCAAGACGUAAGAAUGGGAAUCUUACAUGAUACCACUACACCAACGGCGC